UCGAAGGAUUUUUGCUGAUCGAAGCGAAGGGUAUUCCGAUCGUAAUAACAAUCGAGAGUAACGUUUCGUGGCACCACUUC